rnacentral:rRNA from 1 species
GCUACGGGCGGCAGCAGUGGGGGAUAUUGGACAAUGGGGGGAACCCUGAUCCAGCGACGCCGCGUGAGUGAAGAAGUAUUUCGGUAUGUAAAGCUCUGUCAGCAGGGAAGAAAGAAAUGACGGUACCUGACCACGAAGCCCCGGCUAACUACGUGCCAGCAGCCGCGGUACUACGUAGGGGGCAAGCGUUAUCCGGAAUUACUGGGUGUAAAGGGAGCGUAGACGGUUAAGUAAGUCUGGAGUGAAAGGCCGGGGCUCAACCCCGGGACUGCUCUGGAAACUAUUUAACUUGAGUGCAGGAGAGGUAAGCGGAAUUCCUGGUGUAGCGGUGAAAUGCGUAGAUAUCAGGAGGAACACCGGCGGCGAAGGCGGCUUACUGGACUGUAACUGACGUUGAGGCUCGAAGGCGUGGGGAGCAAACAGGAUUAGAUACCCGGGUAGUC